AACACAGAAUAUUGCACAAUUAUUAUUAAGUAUUGCAGUGAUGUAAUGAUCAAUGUCCAGUUUAAUGACUUAGGGUCAUACAGACUGACACUUAGAGGGAGGAUGCAUGUCACGUUCAAAUAUUAUUAGUGGAAAUGAUUUGGUUGACUGCAUUCACUAAGACAAUAUUACAUUUAUCCUUGAAUUAAUGAAUUUAAGAUAAAUGUUUCCAAUUUUGGUUCAGAUGAUCAGAUUAUAAUUAUGUAAGUGUUUGAUGUUGCUGUGACAGUAUUUCACAGACACCUCAUGACCUUGCAAUGGCAAAUUCUGGGAAUGACAAACCUGUAUUUAGGUUAAAGUAUUGGUUUUUUACAUUAAAUACUGUACACCUACAAUAGAUCAGUAGGUGUACAGUAUACAAUGUAUAAAACAGGGUGAAACAAACCUGUUUAGCCCUAACACUGGUGUAAGACAAACAUUAAAGGCUUUAAACACAAAAAUAGUGAGAUAAGAGAAAAACUAAAAAUGUAUAAUGUAUAAAGAAGAUCGACACGCUGGAGCUGAAAAAGGUGGGAUGUAAAACCUAUUGAUUCGGUGACAAUGGAAGGCUUUGGCUUUUCUGAGCAUGUACUUCUUAUGGUAGGCAAUAAGCUGGAAGCCACAAGUGCCGUCUGUGUGUAAUGGCAAGCCAGCUUUAUUUCUUUAUCUCUACCUUCCAAUUUUGCAAAUCAAAUAAUGAUGAGUGCAGCGGCAAGCAACCAGUGAUAAGAGGGUUUAGUGGUUGUGGAGAUUGAGUUAUUAGGGUUCGUAUAAAAUGGACAGAGGUCUCAGGCGGAGCCCGAGCGCCGGCCAAGAUACAUAUUCCUCGCACUGUGUAUUUUUGGUCACUUUAAAAGCCCUAAAAGUACAGGGGAAGGCUAAUUUUCAGGGUAAACAGCUUGUUCGAUUGCAGUGUGGUUUUGCGCUGAGCUCUCCGUUUAUUGACUCAAGCCGAGCAGUGCUCUGGCUCCUCUGCCGACCACAGGGAGAAGCCUGCCGACGGAGCCUGCAACAAAUACAAGCUGCUAACACUAGCUUACCUUUGAUGGCACACAACUGUUAAAUCAAAUGUACUGAGUAAUGUACAAAGCCUAAUCCUCUUGACUACAUGGCAGGUUGAGGGGAAAAAUGCUUUUAAAAGAACAUCUGCUCCUUUUAGAAAGCUAUUUGUCAUUUCCUAUUUCCUGCUGACUUAGGUUAAAUAAUAAAGAUAUAUAAAGUAGGAUUUGAAUUUGAAAGUACAAAAUUCAAAGUACAUGAAUUAUGAGAACAAACACUGCUCAGAGAAAAAAAUAUAUUUUCAUAGCAGUUUAAAAAAUGUAAAAUACAACAUCUACAGAAAAAAGGUCUUCACUUCCUCCACCAUCUUCUGAAGACAAUUACGAAAAAAGGAAAGAAAAAGAUUACACCUAAGAGGUCUCUACAUUCAGACUGCCUCUUUAAAAAAGCCUAACUCCAAAAGAGGGCUGCAAGUUGUUUUAGCUGAAGGAAGUGACCAUUCAUUAAGAAAGCCAGAGGAAUUUCCUUGCUUUUUCACUGUUGUUAGAUUUGUAUCAAGGCAAAACCAUCGCAGCACAACUCCUGCUUUCCAAGUCCUGUUCUCUCUGUGUGUGCGGCCCAGCUGCUCUGCUCCUCCCUCUGCAAACUGCUGGGAAUCCUGACCACACAGCGCCACACGGAGGACAACUCCUGUACUAAAACACAGGGCUGCCACCACGCUUUAAUGCAGAUUUCCAUGACUUUGGCUUCUCGCCGAGACACAGAAGCACAAUAUAAAUAUCCACGGAUACAGAAAAGGAAGCAAUGCUCUUCUCGCUGAUCUACGUGUCAGGGAUAACCUCCAGCAUGCUGUCACCCACCAACUGCUUGCUAAGAUGCCAUCCUGGAGACGCAAAUAGGCAACAACAUCAGUAAAGCCUUCACUUGCACUCCCUCCCAGCUGCUCACCAUGCAGUGGCGACCCC